UACGUAGGAUCCAAGCGUUAUCGGGAAUCAUUGGGCUUAAAGGGUCCGUAGGCGGGUUAAUAAGUCAGUGGUGAAAGUCUGCAGCUUAACUGUAGAAUUGCCAUUGAUACUGUUAGCCUUGAGUAAGUAUGAAGUUGUUAGAAUAUGUAGUGUAGCGGUGAAAUGCAUAGAUAUCACAUAGAAUACCGAUUGCGAAGGCAGAUCACUAAUAAUUUACUGACGCUGAGGGACGAAAGCGUAGGUAGCGAACAGG
rnacentral:misc_RNA from 1 species